UACGUAGGGGGCUAGCGUUGUCCGGAAUCAUUGGGCGUAAAGAGCGCGUAGGCGGCCAGAUAAGUCCGGUGUGAAAGUCACAGGCUCAACCUGUGAAUGCCGCUGGAAACUGUCUGGCUAGAGUCCGGGAGGGGCGAGUGGAAUUCCCGGUGUAGCGGUGAAAUGCGCAGAUAUCGGGAGGAACACCAAUGGCGAAGGCAGCUCGCUGGGACGUUACUGACGCUGAGACGCGAAAAGCGUGGGGAGCAAACAGGG
rnacentral:rRNA from 1 species